CAAACCCUAGCUCCCCUCUCGCGUCUCCCCCAAUCAGCUCCCGCUUCUCCUCCCCCAAGCCAGCCGCCGCCCUCCUCAUCUCCCCGUCCAGCCGCCGCUUCACCUGCAUCCAUCUCUCCCCCAAUCCCCACCUGCUCCGGUCCCUUUCUCCUCCUCUACCCUGUCUCUCGGUUUUCUCCAUGGAUGUACCAUGGAGAGAGAGGCGGAGGGCAGGAGCUGCACCAUGGCUGGAGAGCCGGAGCUCGACGUGGAGGAGUACGCAGAGAAGCGGCAGACCGAUGUUCUCUCCCUCCUCCUCAACGCGCAGCAAGAGGAGCAGAUGGUGCCACCAACUUGGGGGCGACACGUUGGCUGCCACUGCAGAGAUAGACGAGCUAGAUCUACUUGGAAAUCUGAAUUGUAGUGUAUACCAACCAAGUUGCAGAUUCCUUACAUGUUUAGGGAAGGCAAUCAACAACAAGUUCUAGAAAAAAUAGAGGUUCCCAUUCAGGCGUGACAUUAUUGGAGCCAUCUCAUGGGGCUUUUUGUGUUGUCUCCUCAUAUUAACCUCACACAUGAUGCUAUACUUCAGGCCCUCGGGUGCUCGAUGUAUAGGCUAUGUUGUGUUCUUUUGCUUCUCUUCAUUACCUGGUACUUCUUUUUUGUAUAGAAAAUAAAAUAGAUAGUUGUUUAUUCUUCAUUUACUGGUAAUGAAGUUCGAUUUCUAUAGUUGUUCAAUAUAGUGUUUUAUAAGCCAUUACCAGUUCAAAGGCCUAACCUUCACCAUAGGUUGGAUAAUUUGUCAUUGUGGAUAUGGAGAAAUGCUAGGUGUUACCAUCAGGUUAUGUUCUUAUCCAUGAGGAACAGUUGGGCUCCAGCUGUCUCAACACUUGAUUAUUUGUGGUUUAGUUUGCUGAUUUAUUUUCUUUUCAUUCAUUAAUUAAUAUACUACAUGGUGCAACUAUUAUUACGGCUGAUGUUACU